UAGCUCAGAGGUUAAGAGCACUGGAUGCUCUUCCAGAGGUCCUGAGUUCAAAUCUCAG
rnacentral:tRNA from 1 species